GAUGAACGCUGGCGGCGUGCCUAAUACAUGCAAGUCGAGCGAACGGACGAGAAGCUUGCCUCUCUGAUGUUAGCGGCGGACGGGUGAGUAACACGUGGAUAACCUACCUAUAAGACUGGGAUAACUUCGGGAAACCGGAGCUACUACCGGAUAAUAUUUUGAACCGCAUGGUUCAAAAGUGAAAGACGGUCUUGCUGUCACUUAUAGAUGGAUCCGCGCUGCAUUAGCUAGUUGGUAAGGUAACGGCUUACCAAGGCAACGAUGCAUAGCCGACCGGAGAGGGUGAGCGGCCACACUGGAACUGAGACACGGUCCAGACUCCUACGGGAGGCAGCCGUAGGGAAUCUUCCGCAAUGGGCGAAAGCCUGACGGAGCAACGCCGCGUGAGUGAUGAAGGUCUUCGGAGCGUAAAACUCUGUUAUUAGGGAAGAACAUAUGUGUAAGUAACUGUGCACAUCUUGACGGUACCUAAUCAGAAAGCCACGGCUAACUACGUG
rnacentral:rRNA from 1 species